GCUCUCUGAUGGAGGAGAAUCAUGUUUGCCCUGACAGCACUGUAUUGCAAGCACAGUAGACCAUAGGGAUGCCAUAAACAUUUAUUGAAGGAAUCAAGGAACAAGAUUCUAUCUAUUUAUUCAAGAGAGACAUAGAGAGGCAGAGACAUGCAUAGAAGGAGAAGCAAGCUUCCCAACAAGGAGCCUAAUGCGGAACUUGAUCCUGGGACUCCAGGAUUGUGACCCAAGCCAAAGGCAGAUGCUCAACUACUGAGCCGCCCAGAUGCCCCCCUCAUGUUCUCUUUUAGCAAUCCAUCUUCUGUGGUCCAGCACUUUCUGGGAGUGAAGAGGAAGGAGAGUGAUAAGCACUGUCUAUCUAGGGUUCCUCUUGGCAAGAGAUUAAGAUGAGUCAAGCUGAAGUUUUGUUAAGAUCUAUAAAGAACUUCUUAAACUCAACACCAAAGAAACAAACAAUCCAAUCAUGAAAUGGGCAAAAGACAUGAACAGAAAUCUCACAGAGGAAGACAUAGACAUGGCCAACAUGCA